rnacentral:lncRNA from 1 species
GCUCAAUCAGUCUAAGCAACAACAUCAAUGAUCGAAAAGCCCCUAAGAAGAAGUCAUCACCAUCUCCCCCUGAUCAGAAGAAACCGGUAGCAGCAUCUCCUCCUGAUCAGAAGAAACCGGUAGCACUGUCUCCUCCUGAUCAUAAGAAAACCGUAACACCAUCUCCUCCUGAUCAAAAGAAACCGGUAGCAAGGGUGCAGAAGGCAAAGGCAGCUGGUCCUCCAAAGGCAAAGCCCAAGGACAUGAAAGGGGGCCAACA